UCGCCGCCCGUGACUCGGCGAGAAGUCCAUUGAACCUUAUCAUUUAAAGGAAGGAGAAGUCGUAACAAGGUUUCCGUAGGUGAACCUGCGGAAGGAUCAUUG
rnacentral:rRNA from 1 species